rnacentral:lncRNA from 1 species
AAGUGCUUGUCCCCGAUUUCGAGCCCAAGAAAGGAGUGAAGAUUGUGACGGACGAGAAGGCCACCAGCCUGUCCGCCACUUCGGUCGACGACGGCGCCGUCAUCAGUGACCUGAUCGCCAAGCUUGAGGAGUGUUCCAAGAGGCUCCCUGCUGGGUUCCGGAUGAACCCUAUUCAGUUCGAGAAGGUUAGAGAAGUCAAUAACCCACCCCUAUUUCAGCUGUUGAUUUUUCACAUCUUUUUUCUCUUUUGCCCGCCCUUCCUCCAGUAAAGGAAAAAUCAUUAUAUGCUUUGAGUUUUCUAGACUCAGAUCAGAAAGGGUAGGAUCCGUAGGUUAGAAAAGUCAACCCUACUCAGUUUGGGAGGGUUAGAGGAGUCAGUAACUCUAUUCAGCUGUUUAAUAUUCACCGUUUUUUUUUUUGGGGGGGGGGGGGGUUAACCGGUAGCUCUCUCGAAUGAUUGGUUGGAUUGAAUUGAUCCUCUCGAAUCAAAUGGGUUUUCUAGAUUCAGACCAGAAAAGGGAAUAGGAUCGACAGACAGGGGAUCUAGAUUAGAACCAAGAUUGAUCAAAAGUCAAAAUCAGGAUCGGAUCACAAUUCAACCAACCCCAAGAGUUUUAUUUAUUUGUCUAUAUAUGAAAAAAAGAGCUGGCUUCGAUCUUGUCCAGGACGACGACACAAACUACCACAUGGAGUUGAUCGCGGGGCUGGCCAACAUGCGGGCGAGGAACUACGGCAUCCCGGAGGUGGACAAGCUGAAGGCCAAGUUCAUCGCCGGGAGGAUCAUCCCGGCCAUCGCGACCUCCACCGCCAUGGCCACGGGCCUGGUCUGCCUCGAGCUCUACAAGGUCCUGGCCGGCGGCCACAGGGUGGAGGACUACCGCAACACGUUCGCCAACCUGGCGCUGCCGAUGCUGACCAUGUCGGAGCCGGUCCCGCCGAAGGUGGUCAAGCACCAGGGCACGGCGUGGACGGUGUGGGACAGGUGGGCCGUCCACGGGGACCUGACGCUGAGGGAGCUGCUGAGGUGGCUCAAGGACAAGGCCCUCAACGCCUACAGCAUCUCCUGCGGGACCUCCCUGCUCUACAACAGCAUGUUCCCGCGGCACAGGGACCGCCUGGACAGGAAGGUGGUCGACGUGGCC